AAAUAGCCCUGAUUGAAGUGGAUGCCGAUUUUUAUCGGCAGGAACGGAAAGCAGGAACAUGG
rnacentral:sRNA from 1 species